CCAAACCUGCCAUUGACCUCACAAAUUUACAGCCAUGUUACUCUCCGGCCGCCACCCCUACCACCACAAAUUCACCCCCUCCUCACCGCCGGCCGCCUUCCCCUCUCGCGAUCUCCGCCGCCUCCGGCCGGUCCGGCCCCCAACCAUAGCAUCUGCCAACACCCCGCCUCCACCGCCACCGCCACUACCAUUCCCAUUUCCGUCGCCAAGGCGUCAAUGGCGGUGGCGGCGCCUCACCGGUGGCGUCGGCGACGGCGCCCUGGAACCGGCCCCCGUCGAGGCCGACGGAAAAGCUGCCGGCGGGGGGAAGAAGAGCUUCUGGGCGGCGGUGAGCCUCAUCGUCGGCACGGCGGUCGGGCCGGGCAUGCUGGGCCUGCCGUCCGCCACCAUCCGCUCCGGCCAGGCGCCCUCUGCGGCCGCCAUACUUCUCUCCUGGGCCUACGUCGUGUCCUCCAUCAUCCUAGUCGCCGAGCUCAGCUUCUCCGCCAUGGAGCGCGACGGCGUUGACGAGGUCAGCUUCACCGGACUUGCGUCGAGCACCCUGGGCGCGGAUCUCGGGGCCGUCGUCGCCGUCGUCUACGCCGCGCUCAGCUUCUCCCUGAUCGUCGCCUGCGUCGCUGGCAUCGGCUCGCUGGUCUCACAGCUGUUCCCCAGGGUCAAUCCAGUCCUGGCCAACGCCCUGUUCCCGUGCUUCGCCGGCGUCCUCAUCGCGUUCUUCCCCUUUAAGGCUGUCGACGGCGCCAACCGUGCCCUCUGUGGCCUGAUGCUUGUCUCCAUCACCGCGCUCGUGGUGACCGGCGUGUCCGUCGGCCGGAGCAGCUUGCUGAGAUCUCUUGGCUACGCUUGCUGGAGCCCAGGUGCGAUCCUGCCGGCCAUACCGGUGACCGUGCUCACGCUCGGGUUUCAUGUCAUCACGCCGUUCAUCUGCAAGAUUGUUGGGGAUUCGGUGUAUGAUGCUCGGAGAGCGAUACUGAUUGGGGGUGCCGUGCCAUUGUUCAUGGUGCUGUCGUGGAAUGCGGUCAUUCUUGGUCUGGCAACUGCUGGUGGCAAUGCUAGGAUAGGUGAUCCUAUUAAGCUGCUUCUCUCAGUAAAUCCAGCUGCAUUGCCUGCUGUUCGAGGCUUCGCUUUUGCUGCACUAGCGACGAGCCUGAUAGGAUAUGCAGUGAGCUUCCCAAAGCAAUUGGCAGACACAGUGGAGUUGAUUGUUCAGAGGUUUUCUCCGAAGCAAGGAAGCGUUCAGCAAUCCAAUGCUAGUAUUGGCUAUGGCAGAAAUGGGGUGAUUCUGACAUGGACAGUGCUGAUCGUUCCUAUCUUUAUUGUGUCAUUCUUCUCAGCGGCCUUCUCCAGGGCACUGGAUUUUGCUGGGGUUUACGCAAACUGCUUCUUGUUUGGGAUCCUGCCUCCAGUCAUGGCCUGGAUUCAUCGAUCACAGGAGAGAAAGAGAUCACCUGAUUCCUGUCAAGAUAUUUUGCCUGGUGGAAAUGCUGCUCUCUUGAUACUUUUCAGCAUUGCUGUGGUCCUAGCAAUAUGGCACUAGAAGAAUGUCACAUACAUGUGCCAGCGAUGCUUGAUAUCACCCCUUCUCCAUCUGGCAAGCCCUGUUCAGUGCACUUUUGUGGUUUUUGACAUUAAGAUACUCGGGCGAUGCUCAAAUCCUCACUAGUCUAAAAGACGAAGAUUUUGCAUUGUGCACUCAUGUAAAAUGCUACUUUGUACUGAAUGUGAAAUCGUUGGUUUAUCAGAAACUUGAUGUACUGAUUAUGUCAAGUUGCUAGGAAUCUGGCAAGAAUAGGCGCCUGCCCGGCUGCAGGGUCCAGCCUUCCAUAUUGUUUACUGCCAUCAGGGGAAGGGAAGGAGCAGUGGGCGUAGUUGCCCUCGUUGACUUGAGCUCUCAUAGUCAUACCUUAAUGGCGAACAAGAUCACCGUUAAAAACUACUAUGUGAGCUCAUUAUUCAUGUUGUGGAUGAACGAUCAUUGGUGGAAAUUCAAAUUGCUGGACAGGCAUUUGUCGUGUAAACCAAUCAUGCUAGAAAUAUCUCUGAAUGAUUAUGGGCAAGUUUCUUAAACUAUGGAUCUAUUUUUUUCUGUCUUGAGAAAACCUAAGGCUUCAUGUGGCAAGACCUGACAGGUUGCCUCCAUGUUGGUUUUGCCAGAAUUUUGGGUGGUAGAACCAACUGAUCAUACAUGUCCACAGCUCUUGAAAUUAAAAGGAUUUUGUGGAAACUAGGAGCAAUAUGUUUACCUGCCUUUUGAGCCUUUUGUAUAUGGAGGAGAGAGAGACGAAACUGACUUUUACUGGUUGCAGUUUUGUGAGACUGAACCAAUUACCGAAGAUGCACACUACAAAGCUGCAGCCUGCGUUACUGACUACUUCCUACCUAUGGGAUAGAUCAUGGAUGCAAUGCAAUGUACCUAUGGGAGUAGCCAUCAGUUUGUAUCACCUUCUGGGCUCCGAGACCCUCUGCGCCCGCUCGCAGCAGCAGGCACCAUUCCAAGGAAAAGAAAGCACAGUGGCUGCCAUCCACUAAAAUCUGUAGCUGUAGUUCCAUCACAAUCCAGAACGGCUUCAAGCAACAUGGAAACAAAUGCAUAUUUUUGGCAGAAUUAACCAACCCUUUCUGCUCUCAGGACGGCUCCGAUCCCGACACCAUGAACGGCGGCUGCAGGUAUCUAGUCCGCUGGCCUGGCCAC